rnacentral:lncRNA from 1 species
CUUUGGUGACAUCAGUAGGUUGCCUAGGUCCAUGAGGACAGCAGCCACCACUGGGGGGGACAUCUGCCACCACCCGGAGCCCAACUCAAGCCCAAUGGGCAAUGGGAAGGAGGUGGGCAGAACCAGAUGCUGGCCAGGUUGGCCAUGUGGCCUUUUCCUUUUUCCUCUUUCAGAAGGAGAAAAACCAAGGUCCACUUUUUUUGCCACAUACUCAUGGGACAGAGGGGGUUUUUUCCUUUGGGAAGAAGUCUAAACAAUGAAGUGGGGCGUGGGGCCAGCUUUAUCACCUGAGGAAGUAACCAGGUUCUUUUUUCUCCCCUCCCUGCAAUUUAGCAGAUAGGUGGGUCUCUUGGCCUGUGGCUCCUUCUUUACCCAGCAAGUCUCCCUCCCCAGAGAUGAGGAUCCCUGUAAUUACCUGAGGUCCUCUCCCUCCCUUGUCCCCACACCACCUCCCAGGUCCUCUCCCUCUCUAGAAGAAAUGGUCCAAGUUACAAGGCAGACACUACUGAAGCUCCAGAGAAGUCUCAGUAGCUUCUAGUUUCUGGCAUUUUGGUCACUGGCAUUUGGCAAAAUGGCCCUUGAUUUAACCAUAAAAGAGGAAUUUGCUGAUACUCAACCAGUCCGCCCCGACUAGUUGUGGACGAUGUCUGCCAGCUGCCUACAGAAUCCACCCUUUUCCUUUGGAAUUCCCUCCUUCUCCUGACGCUGACAAUACCCUUGCCCUUCAGAGGACCUGCCUUCCCACUCUCCAUUGGACACUGUGGAACUUCUUGGCGUCCAGUCCCAAGGGCACAGCCACCGCAGGACUUCACGUCUGCCUGCCUGAGCAGGGCUGGUGUCUUAUGAAUGGCAGCUGAGACCCAGUUCAGGCUCACGACCUCAUAUCACAGGUCAGAAAACAAAAGAACAAUUGAGUUCUUAUGAAAACUUGCCAGAUUUCCAUACAAAAGUUUCCUUCUUGAAAUCCCUUUUUUUUUUUUUUUUUUACUUUUCAUCAUAGAAAUGAACUCAAAGGAAAAUGACUAAUCACCGACCUACUCAGAAUCAUUGGUCCCCGGCAAGCAAGGGUGAUCCUGCAUCAAUCUAUUAAUUUUCAUUUCCAGGGUUCUCAGAUGUAAAACAAAUGUUUGAUGUAAUCCGCAACACUGCUCUGUUAUAAUUAAACAACCUCCUACUGCCUAAAUUGGCAAAGCACUCCAUCGAUCAGUGAUAAAUGUGGUCCUUGGGAGACUGCUUUUAUGUUUGUUUCACUCAUGGGAAAAUGGCCACAACCCUUUUGUAAGAUUCCUCGGCUGCUGCUCUCCCCAGGUUACAAUCAUAGUAACUGCUGCUUCUGGGAUGCCUCGCUGUAAUCCUCAUGUUCAAUGAUGGCUCAAUGGAUAUGUGCUUGAAGGAGAGUGAGUGAUGGGGAGUCUACAGUUAUGAAUAAAAUAUAUUCAAGUCAAUAAACCCUUCCUGGGUUCCUUUGCCUCACCAUUUUAUGCACAAUUUAUGAAGCACCCUACACAUACCAGGAGCUAUUUGCAAUGUUUAAGAUGUGGGAGCCCCCAUAAUUCUAAAUAUGUCAUGUAUCAUCUACUUUCCUCUUUGCAAAGUGGAGGGGUUGGAUUCCUGCCAGGCCUGAUAAUAUAGAUCUGCUGUUCACACAUAGCAUAUAGGAGGCCCUGAUGACUUCCUACUCAUCGCUUCCCUCAUUGUCCAAUUGUUGGGGCCAUUGGGCUGCUGUAUUCAGGCCAGCCCUUGCCCUAGAUCCUAGGAUCCAGCCAGACUUGAGGCAAGGAGACACACUGCUGUCAGUGUUCCAUCACCCCUAUGGUUAGGCCUCACUGGCUCUGCCACAGUUCAGACACCAAGGCUCCUGCCUUAGUUUUCUAAGAGAUGUUCCCUACAUUGCACCUGAAUUCAUCCAGUUCAUUUUCACAGAAUAUACUUGACCUAGUUUAAGCAGAAAGGGAUGUAUCACAGGCUACUAAAUGGCUUAUGAAAUCCUUGGAAAAGCUGAAUAAAUAGACCUUAGGGGGAGCCCCUAGAGCUACUCUCAAAGCUAUCUAGCAGAACCUGGCCACAUUUCCAACCAGGAAGCUGCCUGCAGAAUCAGCAAACAGCCCCCACAUCCGCUGGCUUCAGAACCACCCACCUCUGCUCUCCCCACACAAGUGAGCAGACAUCUCAGCCCUGCCUUUCUGGCCACCUGACUGCUUGCAAAUUAAAUCUCUCCCAUUUGCACC